AUCCAACUGAUGAGUCCCAAAUAGGACGAAACGCGUGCCUUGGAU
rnacentral:hammerhead_ribozyme from 1 species